rnacentral:rRNA from 1 species
UACGGGGGGAGCAAGCGUUGUUCGGAUUUACUGGGCGUAAAGGGCGCGUAGGCGGUCAGCACAAGUCAAUUGUGAAAUCUCCGAGCUUAACUCGGAAAGGUCAACUGAAACUGUGCGACUAGAGUGCGGAAGGGGCAACUGGAAUUCUUGGUGUAGCGGUGAAAUGCGUAGAUAUCAAGAGGAACACCUGCGGCGAAGGCGGGUUGCUGGGCCGACACUGACGCUGAAGCGCGAAAGCGUGGGUAGCAAACAGG